rnacentral:piRNA from 1 species
UUGUAAAAGUAACAUUUAAAU